GCCAAUGGGAAUGGAGAAUUCAUCUUCCUCUCUGAGGCCGGGCUUCUAUCACGUGUUUGCAUGGACACGUUUACGCUGCUCUUCCUGGUUAUUUCUGGACGUGGAAAUUCAUUAUAUCGCUGCAGAGAAGCAGAAUGACCAAACCAAAGGAAAAAAAGGAGAAAAUAAGCGUUGCUACAGAGAUUGACCGAAUCGAGGAACGGCGAUCGCUCUGCCAGCGUAACCUGGAGAGAGCGGAGAACAGGUGUUACACCGGCACCGCCGAGAGGAGCUAUCGGAGCAGGACAGACAAACGCUGGAAGAUGAAAUGACAAUAACUAAAGAGAGAAUCCAAAAAUAUGACCGUGAGCUGGAGGUGCUGCGCUGGGAAAACCGCAGAAACAUGCUUCUGGCUGUUUCGCUGAUGGCCAUCAUAGCUCUCUGCUACUACGCCUUUAUCGCCUAGCACUUCCGCCAGUCACCCUCAAGCUGGCCUUCUGUAAUCAGUACUCACCACUUAGUCUGGGUGAUGUCCUGAUCAAGGGCAUGACUUUGGGUUGAGCACUGGGGGGUUGAGGUCUCCACCCAUUUUAGGGGGUCCAGGGGGUUAUAUUGGCUGGUUUUGAUCAUUAGGGGGGGUUAGAACCCCCACCCCCCCCAUAAUUUAUGCCCAUGGUCCUGAUGCACCUUAUUCUGUCUGAAACAAUAUCUGCCUUUGCUGUAGGUGUGAUAGAUGAGUAGUACAGGUUGUUUUUAAAACAGUUGCCGGCUUUUACCUGUAGAUGGCAGGAUUGCUCAGACUUUCACCAUCAUAGGCAAAAGUUACUUAAGUAAUCUGUGAGCUGCACUCCAGAGAAAUGGAUAACACCCAGUGAUUUCGAGUUAUAAUACAGUUUUCCCUGUGAUUCUUUUUAUGAGCAUACAGAUGAACAGGGUAUUGAUAGACUACAGCAGAACCGUAUUGAAAAACUCAUGGCUGCUCUGAAGUCGCAUGGGUGUUAGGAAUAUAAAGACUUAUCCUUGUAGGUUUGUCACGGUACGUUCAGUGCCAUUGAGCAGAGGGACCUCAGUGGUAAAGAACAGGAAGCUUGUGUUGGAAAACUGUCAUGAUUAACAAGAAACCGUAUGUGACACAGUGACAAGAGAACAGAAGUCAGACAUAACUGUGCUAGUGUGUAGGGCUGGAAUUACUGGAAUUAUGCUGCAUGUUGUCUUUGUAUAAAAUUCUUUGCCCAUCUGUGUUGCCAGAAUCGUACUUAAAACAAUGACAGUGAUCCUUCCAAAAGAAUAAAAAGCACAUCUAAAGGGAUCCGUGUUUCAUUUAUAUGGCACCUUGAUGCAUAUACAGCUUUGGACAAAAAUUAAGAGACCAAGUUUGUCAGAAUUCAGUGCUGAUGCUUGUAAUAUGAAAAAUGAUUAGUCACUGACCCCCCUUCUGUUACCAGGUUUAGCACCAAACUAGGGCCAGUUUGGCUACGAUUCCAAGCGUCUUGGCUAUUUGUGGGUUCAGCAGGAAAUAUCACCACAGUGUUAGAACCACAUUGGCACCUCUGGUUUCUUGCAUACCAAGUCAUAUUUACUACAUUACAUACUAAGGCUUAUUUCUGGGAACUUUUUGGCAGCGGUGCUGUUUUCAGGUGGUUUUUCAGUUGUUAGAGUUUUGUAUUAAAUACGCAAUAAAUAUAGGACACUGGUAUUAGGAGUUUGCUAUAAUGUACAUUUUAUUGGGAGGAUGUAAAAAAAAAAAUCCUGGGUUAGUGUAUGAGCGUCAUCCAAGAGACCAGAGAUAAGGGUGUAUGAAAAUUUCUGGCUGUUUAUCACUGGCUCCUGACCUCGUAUUGUGUUACCCUUGGGGGGAAAAAAGAAUAGGAUAUGGAUCAUUGUUUAAGUCACCACGAGGGAGCACAGUUGCUGUCAUGCAUGCAAAUAGAACCAAAUAUUUGGGUCUUUUUUCCAACUUUUUUUGUGGUAUUUUACUUGGAAUAAGAUGCCUAUUGCAUUCAGUUCUGGAAAGUUGCGUAAAUAUGCAUCUGGGAUGGGAGAGUGCGUGUCUGUGUCAGAUUGUGAGUUACAGUCUGCAGUGAACUGCGUCCAACUGUGUGUUAUGUGUCUGCAGAACAGGACAGGAUUACGUGGAUGAGUGUGACCAGAGGCCUAAUGAGAUUUAUGGAUGCUGACAGUGCCAGCAUCUGGUAUCUAUGUACGAUUAAUGUCGGAUGUUCCGGAUGGUUCUUAAUACUGGCGGCCAUGCAUGAGCAUGAAGGAAGGGAACAAGAUGAAGCCUAAUGUGAUUUCCACAGCUGAUUAAACAAAAAUCUUAAAAUCAGUGUUUACAAUAUGUGCUUUGAAUUCAGGAUAUUGAUUGUGCCAAUCUGAGAAUAAUACCUGAAAUACUGCCUGUUUGAGUUUGGGGAAAAAAAUAUGUAGGAGUGAUUUUCUUAUGAAAAUAGCAUUUUUGCUUAGCUUUGUUUCAUAUUUCAGUUUCAAAAUGCAAGAUUUUUAUUUGUCACAUGCAUGAAUGUAGCGGCACGCCAGCAGUAAAUUGAAAUUGCCUAAAACUCCAGACUGCAAUAAGGUAGAAGGAUAACAAAAUAAAAAAAAAAAACUGAUAAAUUAAGUAUUAAAACUACAGAAAUAUACAGAAAGUAAAGAUAAAAAGAUAUGAAAAAAUAUUGAAAGACCAGGUUGCAGUCAUGGCUUAUUGUAGUUUUUCAUCAGUGGUAUUAAUGUUUCUGAUGUCCUGGGGGUAGAAGGUUCUCCUCAGUCACACAGACCAUAAGGCUCUGGUGGCACCUGUCUGGGUGCAGCCGCUGAGACAGUUUAUGGCAUGGAUGGUGAGUAUCUCUGAUAUUUAAUGCCCUGGACCUACAUAUGCUGGAUGGAGAUGUUCUACAGGGCGAGCAGGUCUGCGAUUUUGAAUUUCCUCUGUUGCCUCAGGUGAUACAGGCACUAGAUCAUUCUCUGCACCAGGGUGUAUGUGUGGUUUGUCCACCUCAGGUUCUCAGAGAUACGUACUCUGAUAUACCAGUAGUACCAGUAAUAUCACAUUCAGAACAGCACCUCAUGUGCACCAACAAACGUGACACUGACUUUACCUCAGAGGGCACAAAUACUUAGUAGUGAAACACUCAACUUGACAGACACAGCCUAGCCUUUACACAGGAUAAAACGCAGGUGGAACACAGGGCAUUUGGGGCAGGACAAUUCAUGGUAACACAAUAUAAAAUAUCUAGAAUAUAUAAAAGAAAUUAAAAAUACUAGAAAGUGACAAUAUCUGGAAAGCAAAUCGGUAAAUUGGCUUUAAAAUAUUUGUAAUUUGAGCACAAUUCAAAUCCCACUCGGAAGUGUGAUGUGCAAAUCUUAAAACAGGCCGCACGAUAUCUUUCGAUAUCACACGUCCUGUAUUUCCCUGCCCUCCGUUCGUCAAACACUCCAGUAAUCCUGCAAAGAUGCGGCGUAUUAUGUGAUGAUGCCAGGGUUUAUAAACCGGCCGGAGGCGCGAUGGGCGCACGGGCAGGGCGGGUGAGAGCCGGUGUUCGGGGAUCGCUUUGCUGUUAGGAGACGAUGCAGAGGUAACUGCAGACAGCACCGAGAUGUUUUUACGGAUUCCCCACCUCACACCAGGCUAUAUCAGAUACCUGCAGGCUGCCUAACACGCGCGCACCCCCAAAGGAAAACUACAUGAACACGGCUACAAAUCGAGAGCCGGGGAUCGCAGACGCUAGCAA